AUCCAGCUGUGGAUCCGUCCUGGGAUGCGUGUCCCGGCCUGCUGUCUCUCCGUCACAGAAGGGAAUGUUAGAAUCCCGAGAGAGAGCUGUUAAGGGUAGCGGCUCUGCAGCCGCUCACGUGGGUUGAAUCUCAGCUCGUCUAGUUUUCCCAUCUAAAAUGAAAAGUUACUGUUUUACCACAAAAUAAAUUAAUGUAUGGAAUACAUUGUACAGAAUACAAUAUACAGAAUAAAUUCUGUAACUUACUAUAAAGUUGAGUUGUUGACUGGCCAGUUGCUAAGAAUGGCAAAUAACUUCUCUGUAAAUACUGAAAGGUUUGUUGUAAUAGUGCCAGAGAUUGUUGAUUAGUAACCACGAGAAUAAACAUGUUAAAAUAUUUGUGAUAGUAACCUUUGUCAGAAUUAAAGAUCAUGCAGCUAAGGACCUUGUCACAGUAGACGUACACAUAGUAGGGACCUUAGAUAUCAUUAGACUAAUUCCAUCAACUUAUAGAUAGAAGAAACAGGUCCAGAGAGAUAAUUGCCUGAGUUAGGAAGCUGCUAAUCCUGUAGGCUAAGGGACCAGAUAAUUGCUGAGCAGCCUCUCGCAGGCUUUACAUUCCUUCUCCGUCUCCUGGGCUCAGUACUCCCACCCUCCUCUGAAUCAAUGCUGUUGUAUGCUGUACCAGACAUCUUAUGUUUUCCCUUGAAUUCAGUCUCCACCCUGCUUUCUGCUUCAGUAAGUUGUCCCAAAUGGACGGUAUCAAUGAAAGUCACAGUUUUUAUUGAGAAAGUCCUCUCGCCGGGCGCGGUGGCUCACGCCUGUAAUCCCAGCAGUUUGGGAGGCCGAGGCGGGUGGAUCACGAGGUCAGGAGAUCGAGACCACGGUGAAACCCCGUCUCUACUAAAAAUACAAAAAAAAUUAGCCGGGCGCGGUGGCGGGCGC
rnacentral:lncRNA from 1 species